AUGUGUUUCAGGAGAGCCUGCUCACGCCCUGCCCAGCAUCUGCUACAGAUUAGGGAUCACUUCCAUGGUUGGCAAAGGCCGUGUGGACAGGUCAGCCUGCGGGAUCCUUACCUUGUCAUAGAUAGGCUCCCCAACGCAGCAGACUCCGAGACGAAGAUUUGGAUCUUCCAUUUGGGUUCACGCUGUUCCUUCCAGGUGGCUUUUUCUAUGUGUGUCUCAUCGUGGUGGCCACUGUGGACCCAGCUCUCUCAACCUGUUCCUCAGGGAGCCAGCCUGGGUUGCCAUGUGCUGCAAGAGAAGGCAAAGCUGGGACCGCCUAAGAUCUCACCGCAAAGCUGCAGAUACGCUGACCAGAUGGCAACGCUGAGCUGUGCGCAAGACCGAAAUCACCGUGUUCCAAUCCCAGCCUUGAGACAAAGCCAGACUUGCUCAGAUGUUUCCACUCAGGGUUGGGCAAAGAUGCCCCAAAGGCAGACAAUGGCAAAGAAAGGGAACAGCCUCCAGUGGCUGGCAGGGAGAGCUUUAGGCAUCUGCUGUGGGCCUUGAUGGGGGUCUCCUCUGAGCAGCCCCCACCCUCCCACGUGGCAGGGGGCAUCGGCGGCUGGGAGCAGACCCGAGGCCUCUCCAGGAUGCGGGCUCCUGGCCUCUUCUUGGCUCUGGUCAGUUUGUAUGACACAGCGCCUGCCUGUGGAGCCAAGGGGACAAAACUUUUGUGUGUAACCCAGGGAAACGGAGAGCCCGCGGGCUGUGGUGGCCCCGGCAGCGCUGGUGCCCAUGGAAGGCCCUGCGCACAGGAGCUGUGGGUCCUGGGGCGCCCAUGGGAGGAGACCUGCGGCUGCCAGAGCUUGGGGAGAUCCAUGUGGCUGUGGCUGGAGGGGGCCACCCCAGAAGCCCUCAGCCGCUGCCCCCCCCCCCCCCCGCCCGCCCCGAGCUCUCGGCUGGUGCAGCUUUGAGAGGGCCCAUGCUCCACCCCUUCUCUGCGGGCCUUUUCCUAAUGGAAGCCGUGCCUCAUCCCGUGAGGAUCCGAGGCAGCUCUCAGGAAACACACGAGUAGAAUACUCAAGCGUGAAUAUACUGAAAAAAAAACUCUGGGCCAAAUGUUCUGGAAUGAGGUAGUGGUGAUGGUUAUUGCACAACUUCGCAAAUUGAUUAGAUGCCUUUGAGUCGUACAUUUUAAAGUGGUUAAAACAGUGAGUUUUAUGUUGUGUGUAUUUUACCACAAUAAGAAGAGGUUCAAACAAAAGUGAGGGCGAG
rnacentral:lncRNA from 12 species